GAGGGGGCUCACACCUGAGGAUUCAGGAAGCCAGGCAGUGGUCAGAGGGUGAGGUUUUUGUACACCCCUUAGCGGGGCUCGUGUCAAUGUGACUACUUUGACUACUGGGGCCAAGGAACCCUGGUGACGGUGUCCUCAGAGACCUCAUCCCGUCCAAAUCUUUUCCCCCUCAUCACCUGUGAGAGCUCCCUGUCCGAUGAGCCCCUGGUGGCCAUGGGCUGCCUGGCCCGGGACUUCCUGCCCAGCUCCGUCACCUUCUCCUGGAACUACAAGAACAACAGUGUGGUCAACAACCAGGACAUCCAGACCUUCCCUCCAGUCCUGAGAGAGGGCAAGUACGUGGCUACCUCUCAGGUGCUCCUGCCCUCUGUGGACGUCCUCCAGGGUUCAGAUGACUUCCUCACAUGCAAUGUGAAACACCCCAAGGGCAACAGUGAGGUGAACGUGCCCAUCCCAGUGCCUUUAGUGCUGUCCCCCAAGGUGACUGUCUUCAUCCCACCCCGUGACGCCUUCUCUGACAACAACCAGCGCACGUCCCAGCUUGUCUGUCAGGCAACAGGCUUCAGCCCCAAGAAGAUCUCUGUGUCCUGGUUUCGUGACGGAAAGCUCAUCAGGCCGGGCUUCGGCCCAGGCAACGUGGAGGCUGAGAACAUAGGGCCCGGGCCCGUGACCUUCAGGGUGUUCAGCACGCUGACCAUCACCGAGAAUGCCUGGCUCAGCCAGAGCGUGUUCACUUGCAGUGUGGAGCACAAUGGGCUGACCUUCAAGAAGAAUGUGUCCUCUGCAUGCAUCCUCAACACGCAGGCCAGCAUCAGAAUCUUCGCCAUUCCCCCCACCUUCGCCAGCAUCUUCCAAACCAAGUCGGCCAAGCUGUCCUGCAGGGUCGUAGACCUGACCACCCGCGACAGCCUGAACAUCUCCUGGACCCGCCGGAAUGGCGACUUUCUGCCAACCACCACCAUCUUCCAGAGCAACCUCAACAACACCUUCAGUGCCACGGGGGAGGCCACCGUCUGUGCAGAGGACUGGGAGUCAGGGGAGGACUUCACCUGCACGGUGACCCACACAGAUCUGCCCUCGCCACUGAAGAAGACCAUCUCUAAACCCAAGGACGUCAACAAGCAACCGCCCUCCGUCUACGUCCUGCCACCCAGCCGGGAGCAGCUGAGCCUGCGGGAGUCAGCCACAGUCACUUGCCUGGUGAAGGGCUUCUCACCCGCAGAUGUGUUUGUGCAAUGGCUGCAGAAAGGCCAACCCAUGUCCUCUGAGAGUUAUGUGACCAGUGACCCGACGCCCGAGCCCCAGGACCCCCACCUCUACUUUGUCCACAGCACCCUGACUGUGAGUGAGGAGGAGUGGAGCUCGGGGGAGACCUACACCUGUGUUGUGGGCCACGAGGCCCUGCCCCACAUGGUGACGGAGAGGAGCGUGGACAAGUCCACCGAGGGGGAGGUGAGUGCCGAGGAGGAGGGCUUCGAGAAUCUGAACACCAUGGCCUCCACCUUCAUCGUUCUCUUCCUCCUCAGCGUCUUCUACAGCACCACAGUCACCCUGUUCAAGGUAGUGGCGGCCCUCCCCGCUAAGAACUUCAGAGACCCAGAAGAUGGGACCCAGGGGGGCACCGCCUUGGGGCCUGGGGUUCCCAGCCUGCAGACCCUGUCGACUUGCACUUAAAUCCUUCCCACGUCACCCCUCCCGCUUGCCGCCCAAAGACGCAGGCUUCUCAAGACCAGGCCAAGUGCCGUGGACGCAGCACCGCUCUGCAGUGUGCACACAUGUCACCUUGAAAUAAAUGUGUAUAUUUUAUCCUGUGAAA